rnacentral:misc_RNA from 1 species
CAGGAUCAUACAACAUCUUUUCUAUUGAACCAUGUAAAGCUGUAAGUCUUUUUUCCUUUACAGAGUAAGGGAAGUAGAUGGACAUAUCUGCCCCAGGAGAGACAAUAUUGAACUUUGGAUCGAAAACAUCAAUGCCAUGAACAACUCGAUAUAACCCUGGAAGAGUGAAAGCAGUGUGGCUCUCAUACUGACCAACAGUAUUCUUCGUUCCUGCAAUCUCUUGGUAAGUACUGGUAAUGAUAAAAUCAGCAUUGUUCAUGGCCAAUAAGUCAGCAGUGAAUUGACAUGAGAAAUGAUAUUUAUCAUCAAAAUUUUUCCAAUAUAUAUCUGAAUCCGGAUAUUUGGUCUUCUCCAAGGCAUGCGCAAUGGUGCACUGUGUAAUACCCAUUUUAUAUGCCAACAAAGAUGCAACAAGGUUCCCAUCACUAUAGUUGCCUAUGAUAAAAUCAGGAAAGCCCUGUAACUCGGCUACAACAAUUUCACUGGCCACAUCCUCAGCAAAGGUCUCCAGAUAUGGCCAUACAUCAAAUCUUGAGACCCAUUUUCUAAGAAUUCCUUUCUCUGAUCUAAAAGGAACUCGCAGAAUAUGCGUGUGUUCUGUUCCACUGACUCUUUCCAACCUCUGAUUGCAUGUAGUCCCUUUUGCAUCAGGAAUUAAUCUGGUCACAAUUAGAAUCCUAGGCUUGAAAUCCAGGCCUUGCUUCU